UUGCAUGUCAAAAAAAGGUGAAAUAUUGCUCAUGUCUAGAUCAACCUUCAUGAUACACAAUCCUAAGGAUGAAUCGAUCAGAAAUAUAGAGGUCGCUAACGUUAGUACCAAUAUUGCGGCAUACAUCUACAUUGAAAGCCUAGUUUGUCCCUAUUUACAAAACGAACCAAGUACACAACAAGAAUGAAGGUUGCAGAAACUCAGGAAGUGAAAACUGAUGUUAAGAACAAUUGAUCCAUCCCCGCUGAUUGCACGAAAGCAAUGCUUCCCUGUUCUCAAUGUUCACUGGAUGUACUAUCAUUUCAAUAUGCAUAGAGAAAGAUUUACCUACGAUCGCUAUUUGCAUAUCCCACUUUGUCAAUCGUUGUGAUAAAGGUUGAACAAGCUUCUCCGUGCCUUGAGUACCUGUUGUGGUAUCUGGAGAUGAUAGUGAUUCGUGACAAAAGGUUGAACAAGCUUCUGCGAUGUUUGAAUUUCUUUUGUUGUAGUAUCUUGAGAUUGAUUUGAACUACUGUGGUAAUCAUAUAUUCAGUAGUACAGCUAUAUGUAACUUCUGGUACUUGGUUUGACAUGUUUUCUCUAAGCUGACAAAAUUCCUUUAUACUCCCAGUUUAAGAGCU